GACAGAGGGUGCAAACGUUGUUCGGAAUUACUGGGCGUAAAGCGAGUGUAGGCGGUUCGGUAAGUCGGAUGUGAAAGCCCCGGGCUCAACCCGGGAAGUGCAUUCGAUACUGCCAGGCUAGAGUAUCGGAGAGGUUGGUGGAAUUCUCGGUGUAGAGGUGAAAUUCGUAGAUAUCGAGAGGAACACCGGUGGCGAAGGCGGCCAACUGGACGAAUACUGACGCUGAGAAUCGAAAGCGUGGGGAGCAAACAGG
rnacentral:rRNA from 1 species